AUUGAACGCUGGCGGCAUGCUUUACACAUGCAAGUCGAACGGACCCUUCGGGGUUAGUGGCGGACGGGUGAGUAACACGUGGGAACGUGCCUUUAGGUUCGGAAUAGCUCCUGGAAACGGGUGGUAAUGCCGAAUGUGCCCUUCGGGGAAAGAUUUAUCGCCUUUAGAGCGGCCCGCGUCUGAUUAGCUAGUUGGUGGGGUAAUGGCCCACCAAGGCUACGAUCAGUAGCUGGUCUGAGAGGAUGACCAGCCACAUUGGGACUGAGACACGGCCCAAACUCCUACGGGAGGCAGCAGUGGGGAAUCUUGCGCAAUGGGCGAAAGCCUGACGCAGCCAUGCCGCGUGUAUGAUGAAGGUCUUAGGAUUGUAAAUACUUUCACCGGUGAAGAUAAUGACUGUAGCCGGAGAAGAAGCCCGGCUAACUUCGUG
rnacentral:rRNA from 1 species